AUGCAAGUCGAGCGGAUGACGGGAGCUUGCUCCUUGAUUCAGCGGCGGACGGGUGAGUAAUGCCUAGGAAUCUGCCUGGUAGUGGGGGACAACGUUUCGAAAGGAACGCUAAUACCGCAUACGUCCUACGGGAGAAAGCAGGGGACCUUCGGGCCUUGCGCUAUCAGAUGAGCCUAGGUCGGAUUAGCUAGUUGGUGGGGUAAUGGCUCACCAAGGCGACGAUCCGUAACUGGUCUGAGAGGAUGAUCAGUCACACUGGAACUGAGACACGGUCCAGACUCCUACGGGAGGCAGCAGUGGGGAAUAUUGGACAAUGGGCGAAAGCCUGAUCCAGCCAUGCCGCGUGUGUGAAGAAGGUCUUCGGAUUGUAAAGCACUUUAAGUUGGGAGGAAGGGCAGUAAGCUAAUACCUUGCUGUUUUGACGUUACCGACAGAAUAAGCACCGGCUAACUCUGUGCCAGCAGCCGCGGU
rnacentral:rRNA from 1 species